UAUUUAAUGUUGCCAAUAACGAGGGAUUUUUUUUUUUUUUUUCGAGCCGAGUACAGGUCGUGCUGCAAUUAGUUCAUUGAAAACUCAGUUGCUCUCUGAGCGCUUGGACAGAGACUGCUUUCGGCUUUUUUUCUGCUGAUUGUUAAGAUCUCCUAUAGAGAGCUGCAACAAUGCCCAAAAGAAAGGCUGCCGGUCAAGGUGAUAUGAGGCAGGAGCCAAAGAGAAGAUCAGCCAGGCUGUCUGCUAUGCCUGUGCCCAUUACACCAGAGUUGAAGCCCAAAAGAACAUCAACUCCAAAG